GCCGGCGGCGUUGUGCGGUCGGGGGCCGGCCGGCGGGAGGGUAGGGGCCCGGCAGCCGCCCGGAGCGCCGCCGCCAUGCCCGCCUUCCGGCAGGUGGGGGAGAAGCAGCUGCCCCAGGAGGUCGUCUUCAUGGCCUGGUCCCCCAAAAGGGACCUCAUCGCCCUGGCCAACAGAGCGGGGGAGGUUUUACUUCAUCGGCUUGCAAACUUUCAAAGAGUGUGGAGCUUGCCUCCAAACGAAAAUACAGGAAAAGAAGUGACUGCUCUUGCUUGGAGACCAGAUGGCAAAAUUUUGGCUUUUGGCCUUACUGAUACCAAGCGGAUUAUUCUGUGUGAUGUAGAAAAACCUGAAAGUUUGCACUCCUUCUCUGUGGACUCGUCUAUUACAUACAUGCAUUGGAUGGAAGUAACUGAGGAAAGCAGUGUUCUCACUUCCUUUUACAAUGCUGAGGAUGAAUCAAAUCUCCUUUUGCCUAAAUUACCAGCGCUACCAAAAAAUUACAGUACCACUGCAAAAAUUUUCAGUGAAGAAAAGUCAGAUGAGAUUAUGAAGCUUCUGGGUGAUGUAAGGCUUAAUGCUCUUGUCCUUGGUGGAAGUUCAGGAUUUAUUGAGAUUUAUGCUUAUGGAAUGUUCAAGAUUGCUACAGUAACUGGGGUGGCAGGUUCUUGUCGUGGACUAUGUUUGUCUAGUGAUUUGAAAUCACUAUCGGUUAUUACAGAGAUACGAGACUCUUCAGACAGCGAAGCAGAGAUAACAUAUUUUCAGCUGGACACUAGUCUAUUAUCCAGUUACUUGCCUGAGGUAACUCGAAUGGCCCGGAAGUUUACUCACAUUUCAACUCUGUUACAGUAUAUAAAGUUGUCAUUGACGUGCAUGUGUGAAGCAUGGGAAGAAAUAUUGAUGCAGAUGGACUCAAGACUAACAAAGUUUGUACAGGAAAAGAAUACAACCACUUCUGUUCAGGAUGAGUUUAUGCAGCUGUUGUUAUGGGGCAAAGCAAGUCUGGAACUUCAGGCGUUACUAAUGAACCAACUGACAGUAAAGGGUUUAAAAAAACUUGGUCAAUCCAUAGAGUCUUCCUAUUCCAGUAUACAAAAGUUGGUCAUAAGUCAUUUGCAGAGUGGUUCCGAGGCACUGUUAUACCACUUGAGUGAAUUGAAAGGAAUGGCUUUAUGGAAACAAAAAUACGAGUCUCUGGGAUUAGAUGCAUCUGGAAUUGAAGAGGCUAUUACUGCUGUUGGUUCUUUCAUCCUGAAAGCAAAUGAGCUGCUUCAAGUUAUCGACAGUAGUAUGAAAAACUUCAAAGCAUUUUUUCGAUGGCUGUAUGUUGCCAUGUUGAGGAUGUCAGAAGAUCAUGUGCUUCCAGAACUGAACAAGGUAAUGACUCAAAAAGAUAUCACGUUUGUUGCUGAUUUUCUUACUGAACACUUCAAUGAGGCACCAGAACUUUACAAUCGUAAAGGAAAAUACUUCAAUGUGGAGAGAGUUGGCCAGUACUUGAAAGAUGAAGAUGAUGACCUUGUAUCACCACCUAAUACAGAGGGAAACCAGUGGUUUAACUUUCUUAAAAAUAGUACUCAUCUUAAAGAAAGUCCACUUCUGUUUCCCUACUAUCCUGAGAAAUCACUGCAUUUUGUCAAAAGGCAAAUGGAGGGGGUCAUUGAUCAGUGUUUACAAAAGCCAGCGGAUGUAAUUGGAAAGUCAGUGCAUCAAGCAGUCUCCAUGUCUCUCUACAAAACUUCUCAAAGUGAAGAUUCCACACCUCAAUUAUUUAAACUACCAUUUCUGUGGAAUGACAAAACAUCCAAUAUACAUUACGUUCUCUUCACCAUAUUAGAAAAUUCUAUUUCUAAAAUACACAUUUUGAGGAGACAUACUGAUACUUCCAGGUCUGUCAGUAAUGGAAUUCUUGCAGUAGAGUUUGGAAACUUCUUGAACAGCAGUGUAAAUGAGAGCUCAGACUCCAGAUGCUACAGUUGUUUAGAUGCACACUUCUAUGAUGAUGAAACUGUAACUGUAGUUCUGAAGGAGAGUGUGGAACAAGAGGGGAAGGAGAGAGUCUUGGCUCAGCUGCCUUUAUCAUCAGUAUACACAGAUGAGGACCAAGAUAAGGAAUUAAUCUGGGAUUCUACUAAAAGGCUGGAUGAGCAAAGUGGUGAGAUAUCCACACGUACUGUUUUCUUGGAGAAUCAGUGGAGAGUGCUGGAGAAUAUGAAAGCUCAGUAUGUUUCUGUAAAUGGCAUUAGAAAAGUUUCCUGUGUGCUAAGUUCAAAUCUCCGUCAUGUGAGGGUGUUUGAGAUGGAUGUAGAGGAUGAUGGGGAAGUUGAGGAAGAAGAGGAAGAAGAAACAACUCAGAUUGCAGCUGGGGAACCUGAUGAGCUAAAUCAGUCUGCAGAUAACCAGGACAAUGUGUGUGGUGCAUCUGCUGAAGAACUACCUGACGAAACUGAAGAACACGAAUCAAGUCUGGAUCCUUGACAUAGGCUUUUAUACUGGAAAUAAUUUGGAAGCACUGAGAAGAAUAGAUAAGUGAGAACAUCCAUGAGAAAUGAAGUCAGCAGUAGUCCUGAACGGAGCAGGCACCUUUCAGAGGCAUGAGCUGUGUGACUUGGCACCGGAUGAAGGCUGUGCCAGCUGUUCUGCAUGACACACUAAAUAAAAUUUCUCUGCUGUCAGUCACACUGUAUUGCUGGGAUCUACAAACCAGACACAGCAUCAGCAAGUUAUGCCCUGAACCUCCAGGUCUGUGAACUUUCUUUCCUUCUGGCCGGUUGUAAAGUCUUUGCGGAGGAUGAGAUCCGCACGUCUCACCCUGUCCAUUAGAGCUGGUGAACGUUUCUGCAUGGCAAAAAAUUACAGCACAGCUGGAUUUGCUGCUGGCCGAGAGCGAGGACCAGAUGACACAUUAACAACUGCGGCUGUGCAGAGAGCACCUUAGCCCUCGUCCCCCUUUCCCUCCCUCCGUGCACGCCUGUCCUUGCAAACCACAACCAAGCUGUCAGAUGCUUAGCGGCACCGCCGUGCCGUUCCCCGGCCCUGCCCGCUCUUCCUCACGGCCGAGCUGUGAACCCCCGGCUUGUUCCCAGAGGAUGGUCAGUCCACCUUUGCAGGCACUGGCAUGUUACGCCGGGACAGCUGUGUGGGGCGAGCAGCCCCAACGCGCUGGGUUGCUCCUGCAUCCCCCGGAGCAGCAGCCGCCCGCUGCACCUGAAGCGGUGUGAGCCCUGCAACUGCUCCCGUCUGCAGCCAGUUCACCCCUUCUGCCAGCACGGGAGAGCUGCGGGCUGCUGCGGUCAGGCUGCCCUGGGACCUGGUGCAGCAUGGCCGCCUGCCUGGGCGGCGGAGGAGGAAGGUCUUUGGUGGCGGGGUGCUCGGCACUGAUGGUGGUCUGGGGGUCCAGGUCAAAGCCGAGCAUCCCAGCAAGGGCUGUGGCUAGGGCAGGAAGGUUUCCACCAUUUCCUUACAGCUUGCGUAAGCCCAGGUAUUGUUUUACACGGCGGCAGCAUGAGCUGGGGUGCUGCGGGCAGCCUGACCGGUGGCCGAGAGGCCGCAGGGAGUCAGAGGGAACGGCCCCAUGGGUAGAGGCGAUGUGAUGCUGUCGCCUGACUGAAAGGUGGCACAUUUUGAACAACUCAGCAGAAAGUUUUUCAGCUUUCUCAAUUUGGCCACCCCAAUGUUCCUGUGCUUACUGGCAUGGAUAAAACUGCCACUAAACCACUCCUUUUAAGAAAGCACUUUCAAGUAGAGAAAGUUGUCAGAAAUGGUUGUUCAAAAUGGGCAUUUCCCUGUUGUCCCCUCCAAAGAACAAUUUUAAGCUCGGGACCGCUUUCAAUCAGGAAAGUUUAAAACUAAGAUGGCAGAAUAGAGACGUGUUGGUAUUUCAUGUAUGGUAUGGUAUCUGUCCCGGGCACCACUAACUUGUUCUUCACCAGGAAUUGCUCUUAACCAUUUAUACCUCUCUUAAUCUUACAUCUUCAACAUGCUGUAACAGACUAAUUCCCUUUAAUGUGAAAUGCGCUAUACACACCUCAGAUGUUAUUAUUAUACUAUUAUCAGACAUAAUUAGCCUUAUGUAUUUUGUUUACAGAAUACACCAAAGGUGCUGGAAACUGUUCUGUAUGCCUCCCGAACAGAUUGUGCUGGCUUUGCAUUAAUACCAUUUAUGGUCUGCUUUAAUCUUCAAAGUGCAAGACCAGUAGUUGCAUCUGCCACACAGUAAAUACUACACCUUUCAGAAAGUGGUGGGACUAAGAACAACAAGCAGCAGUAACUUUCCAGAGGAAAUAUCAGUAAGUCAGUAAAAGAGACACAGUGACAUGCUUGGUAUUACAAAUAAAUGGGUUGUAUGACCUA